rnacentral:rRNA from 1 species
CGCCGCGAAUGCGAUCACAAGAUUCCACUCAUUCUAGGAGCCCGACCUGUGAACAUCCGGCCCUACAGGCACAAGCCAGAGCACAAGAAGGAGACCGAUGCCCAAGUCGAAGAACUUCUCCGCAAAGGCAUUAUUCAGAAAAGUAGGAGUCCUUUCUGCUCACCGGCUAUCCUUGUCAAGAAGAAAGACGGGACGUGGCGGCUUUGUAUCGACUAUAGACAUCUCAAUGCGAUCACCUACAUCGCCAAGUAUCCCGUCCCUAUCAUUGAAGAAUUGCAGGACGAGUUGCAUGGCAUAGCCUGGUUCUUCAAAUUGGAUAUUCGCUCGGGCUACCACCAGAUUCAUUUGGCGGAGGGGGAAGAGUACAAGACAGCAUUCAAAAUGCACUCAGGCCAUUACGAGUUCCUAGUGGUUUCCUUCGGUCUAGCCGGUGGACCGGCCACAUUCAAU